rnacentral:lncRNA from 1 species
UAAGUGCAUUGGUCAUUGGCCCCUGAUCCCCUAGUCUGCCUACAGUAUUUUUUAUUGUGUGUCCCUGUAUGUUCUUGAAAUCAAACUUGUGUACUGUGGACUUUCUUGGUGAAUCUUGUCAUGGCUACUACUAAGUUUGAAUUGAGCAUGUUUAAUGGGAGGGGGACUUUAAUAUGUGGAGCCAGAAAAUGAGGGCUAUCUUAAUGCAAACGAAAUGUGCUAAAGCCUUAGAUAAU